CGAACGAUGAAGCCCCUUCGGGGGUGGAUUAGUGGCGAACGGGUGAGUAACACGUGGGCAAUCUGCCCUGCACUCUGGGACAAGCCCUGGAAACGGGGUCUAAUACCGGAUACGACCAUCUGAGGCAUCUCAUGGUGGUGGAAAGCUCCGGCGGUGCAGGAUGAGCCCGCGGCCUAUCAGCUUGUUGGUGAGGUAACGGCUCACCAAGGCGACGACGGGUAGCCGGCCUGAGAGGGCGACCGGCCACACUGGGACUGAGACACGGCCCAGACUCCUACGGGAGGCAGCAGUGGGGAAUAUUGCACAAUGGGCGCAAGCCUGAUGCAGCGACGCCGCGUGAGGGAUGACGGCCUUCGGGUUGUAAACCUCUUUCAGCAGGGAAGAAGCGUAAGUGACGGUACCUGCAGAAGAAGCGCCGGCUAACUACGUGCCAGCAGCCG
rnacentral:rRNA from 1 species